AGAGAUCAGUGUCUGCCGGAGUCGUUGGGGAAGGCUCCCUGGAAAGUGUCUAGACCUUGAAGAGUUCCUCCUGAAGGACCUGAAGAGCUGAAGAACUUUGAAGAAGAACUUUUUCUGAAAAACUUUGAAAUCAAUUGCAUGUCAUGGGAGACACUGGCAAAGGACCACCCAGAAUGGUGAUGAGGAAGUGAUAUCAACCGCUGGUUUCCUGAGCAGCCCAAAUGUGAAUGUCUCAAUACCUUUUGGGAAAAACCACCCUAACUUGCAUGGCCCCCAACAGAAUCUGACAGUGAUGAAUCAUUGCUGGCCCUUGAGGAACAGGCUUCUAUGCAGGCCUCCAUGCACCCGCCCUAGCUGCCUGCAGCUGCCAAGACUGAUGA